UCUUCGACCGUUGAGGCGUCGACGACCUUCGCUCUCCUCCACUGUAAGUGGGUAAGAAGUUGUUUGGGUUUUGACUUUGAACAUCUCCAUGAUUUGAACAUCUUCAAUCGAUCUAUCUCUCAUGAAUAUCUCCUUGAUUUUCUGCGUUUUCAGACGAACAGCCUCAAACUCGAUCUUGGUUGCUCGCAGCAAAUACUAAAAUGAAAUCGAUUUCAUGGUUUUAAUGAUUAUUUGAUAGAAAGAAGUUGAAUUUAUAUUAAAGAAUAAUACUUUAGGUUCAUGUAUUGUUCUUUUGGAUUCAGGAAUGUGAUGUCCUCAUCCCUUCUGCUUUGGGUGGAGUUCUUAAUAGGGAUAAUACUUCAUCAGUGAGAAGCUGAAAACUUUCUGGGUUCGAUUUCUGAUUCUUCAAAGUCCGUGUCUUGGCAUGCUAGUUGCUGCAACUUCUGGAACUGGAUUUGUUCUUGGAAGUGGCAGUGCCGUCGAUUUUGCUGGACUUUGUUGGAUAUGUGUUGGUACCAUGAUGUUUGCAGCAUCUGCUAACUCUUUAAAUCAGGUGUUCGAGAAGUAUAAUGAUGCCAAACUGAAGAGAACGAUGCAAAGACCCCUACCUUCAGGACGCAUUACUAGGCCUCAUGCAAUUGCCUAGGCAUUUACUGCUGGCUUAGCUGGCACUGCUUUGUUGGCAAGCAAGGUGGCCCCAUGAAAA